rnacentral:rRNA from 1 species
GAUUAACGCUGGCGGCGUGCCUAACACAUGCAAGUCGAGCGGCAGCGAGUUUUACACUGACUUCUGGAAGCUUCUAGUUGUAAGAGAAGAUUUAUUCAAGAAUUUUGUGUAAAAUGUCGGCGAGCGGCGGACGGCUGAGUAACGCGUGGGAACGUACCCCAAAGUGAGGGAUACCGCAUCGAAAGGUGUGCUAAUACCGCAUAUGGUCUUCGGAUUAAAGCCUUCGGGCGCUUUGGGAACGGCCUGCGUAAGAUUAGAUAGUUGGUGGGGUAAUGGCCUACCAAGGAGAAGAUCUUUAACUGGAAUGAGAGGAUGAUCAGUCAGACUGGAACUGGGACACGGGCCAGACUUCUACGGGAGGCAGCAGUGAGGAAUCAUCCACAAUGGGCGAAAGCAUGAUGGAGCAACGCCGCGUGCAGGAUGAAGGCGUUCGGGUUGUAAGCUGCUUUUAUAAGUGAGGAUUAGGACAGUAACUUAUGAAUAAGGAUCGGUAAACUACGU